UACGUAGGCAGCAAGCGUUGUUCGGAAUUACUGGGCGUAAAGAGUGUGUAGGCGGUGCUCUAAGUUCGGUGUGAAAGCCCUCGGCUUAACUGAGGAAGUGCACCCGAAACUGAGUAGCUAGAGUACUAAAGAGGGUCGCGGAAUUCCCGGUGUAGAGGUGAAAUUCGUAGAUAUCGGGAGGAACACCGGUGGCGAAGGCGGCGACCUGGGUAGAUACUGACGCUGAGGCGCGAAAGCGUGGGGAGCAAACAGG
rnacentral:rRNA from 1 species